AGAUUUUGCUGCCUUCUUAGAAUUAAUUCUGUGCAAGAUAGCCGUCUUUGGUACUUCGGCUCUUGGGCUUUGAAGACCACCAGAUAAAGUCCUUUUGUAUUCACCUUUGGUUUCAGUUUGUCCAACUGUUGAUCCUACGGAAGUAGAAUCCUUCUCUUCACUAACAGUAGCAGCUUUGGGAGGCUCUAACUUGCUUGAAACU
rnacentral:misc_RNA from 1 species